AUCAGCGUGGAUGUUUAAAUCAUGGGGAUGGGGACGAUUUUACUGAGGAGGUCUGAAAAUUGAGUUGUAACAUUCUUGCUCUCAGUUAGGGUUGGGCAUCGUUUGAAUUGGAACGAUUCCGAUUCCUGACGAUUCUCGAUUCCGAUUCUUCUUGUACCAUGCCGGGAUCAAUGUGUUUGCCAGGUAGUCCCUGGAAGGUGGUAUGUAUUUUGGGUUGAGAGUUUUCACCAUAUCCCUGCAAACAUAAACAAACAUGUAAUGUUGCUGUUACUGUUUAGCCCAGUAUCAAUUAGCUUAGCUUUAAUGUUAUUGCUUAACUAACCUAAAUGUUGGAGAUUCCACCUCUGAAAAGGGAUGCAGUCUUUUGACUAUGUGUGCAGUGACCUUUCUGUGGCACUCUUCCGUCUGUGGCACCGACAUCUUCCCCAUUGCCGCUAGGGUGAACGGAGUACGCUGAGCACAUCGCAGAGCCUGGCUAGCAGGUUCUAAAUUGUCUAUGAAAAAAAUAUGCGGGCUAAUUUGUUAGCUGCCUCAACGUUGGCGCAAAACACAGUAUUUAUUGCAUAUAUAUUGUUUUACUUACCGGAUUCGGACUGCAGUGCAGUCACCGAGGUACCAGGCUGGGCGUCGGAGCCGGAGCCAGAGGAAGAGGCAGAGGAGGACGGUCAGCGCAGCGCGUCGAAGACGGGACACGCAUUUAUUUGUACUCCAUGAACUCGGAGGUGCUUCAUCAUGUUCGACGUGCACCCUCCUAAGCAGGAAACAGUCCUGUCGCACGUGUUACAUUUCGCCGAUAUUUCAAUUUUUUUUAGUAAAAUAAAGCCACACUUUUGGCCGCCGACGCCCGCUAUCCAUGCUUGACUGACUCGCUCGGCUACAUACAGUAGGCUCGGCUAUGCUAACACUUCCGGCGGUGGGCGCUUCUUCGUUGGUGUUCAGCGGCCUCUUCUUCCGGUCGGCGGACUGGGUAUUGAAACUAGGAAUCGAAAUUUAAACUUUUGAACGAUUCUGGGAGAAUCGGAAAGUUAGUCCCGGUUCCAAUCGAUACUCGAUACCCAACCCUACUCUCCGUUGGGUGGUAGAUGGUCAGAACCAGAUGGGGGCCAGACAAGCCCAUUUUCACCAGUAGAGCUUCAAAACUGGAGUGUGUGAGGCAUCUUAACACAGAACAGCUGUAGUUGUCCUUGUACACGAAGGCCACGGCCCCUCCAGUCUUUGUGUCUUGGGUUGCCGUGGUAACUCCAACCAGGUGGGCACAGUUCAUUGAGAGAGGAAUAAUCCCUGGAGAUUUGCCAUGAUUCCGUGAUUGCGAAGAAUUCCAGUUGUUUGGAAAUAAACUCACACAGGAUGGAUGUUUUCUCCUUCACAUAACUGGCAUUGAGCAGACAGACUUUCACGGUGACUUCACUCGCCGACGAAGACGGUUCUCCUGCUGGUAGGUUCUCCACAGAGGAAUGCUGUAGUUCUGACGGAUUGAACAUCGGAUUCCUGGUCACCUCCCUGACUAGACUAAGAUGAAUGCAGCAAUGUACAGAGACAUACUGGAUGAAAACCAACACUUCCCAUUCUAUCUGAAUAUGUACCUAAUAAAAGUGUCUUUAAAUAGAUGAACUGAUCCUUACCAGGCUCCGUAGUGUCGUCCUCUCCAACGGGUAUGAUGAAAGUGCCCCCAAAUCGAUGAGCUUGACGAUCAAUGUGCUCAAUGUAUUGAUUCAACUCUUGCUCCUCAUCCGUUUUUCCUUUUGACUGAGACCUGGCAGCAAGAGCAUUCUCUUCCUCGGAUGGAACUGCAGCAGAGUCCUCGGUUGGGAGUUUGGUCCCUUCCUCUUCUUCCAUGUUGUCCUCACCCUCUGACGGCGUAGUAGCAUCCUCGUUAGACGGUGUUGCGGCGUCCUCUUCAGU